rnacentral:rRNA from 1 species
UGGCCAAAAUCAGUAGCUGUGUCCUCCGAGACUAGGAGAAGCUUGCUCCUUGAUUCAGCGGCGGACGGGUGAGUAAUGCCUAGGAAUCUGCCUGGUAGUGGGGGACAACGUUUCGAAAGGAACGCUAAUACCGCAUACGUCCUACGGGAGAAAGCAGGGGACCUUCGGGCCUUGCGCUAUCAGAUGAGCCUAGGUCGGAUUAGCUAGUUGGUGGGGUAAUGGCUCACCAAGGCGACGAUCCGUAACUGGUCUGAGAGGAUGAUCAGUCACACUGGAACUGAGACACGGUCCAGACUCCUACGGGAGGCAGCAGUGGGGAAUAUUGGACAAUGGGCGAAAGCCUGAUCCAGCCAUGCCGCGUGUGUGAAGAAGGUCUUCGGAUUGUAAAGCACUUUAAGUUGGGAGGAAGGGCAGUAAGUUAAUACCUUGCUGUUUUGACGUUACCGACAGAAUAAGCACCGGCUAACUCUGUGCCAGCAGCCGCGGUAAUACAGAGGGUGCAAGCGUUAAUCGGAAUUACUGGGCGUAAAGCGCGCGUAGGUGGUUUGUUAAGUUGGAUGUGAAAGCCCCGGGCUCAACCUGGGAACUGCAUCCAAAACUGGCAAGCUAGAGUACGGUAGAGGGUGGUGGAAUUUCCUGUGUAGCGGUGAAAUGCGUAGAUAUAGGAAGGAACACCAGUGGCGAAGGCGACCACCUGGACUGAUACUGACACUGAGGUGCGAAAGCGUGGGGAGCAAACGGGAUUAGAUACCCUGGUAGUCCACGCCGUAAACGAUGUCAACUAGCCGUUGGAAUCCUUGAAAUUUUAGUGGCGCACCUAACGCAUUAAGUUGACCGCCUGGGGAAUACGGCCGCAAGGUUAAAACUCAAAUGAA